GAGUUACUGCAGCAAAGGUGCGUACCUGAACCCGGUUUUGCACUUGCWGACAGUAAGCCGGCUUCGCAACUUGCGAUUAAUCCCCGUUUAUCUCCGGUUCCCGGAGCAUGGUUAUUCCAUAAGGCGUAGGUUCUCAAGUUCGUGGUGCGGUACCGGGUUCAUGGGCCCGCACGUGUCCUAUACCCUGUGUUGCCCACGAAGCUCCAGAUUGGGCGUGGUGUCGGUAUUUUCCGUAUCGUGUUCCGUCUUUUCCCUGUAAGCCCCGUUAUCUGACGGAAGCAUUGUCCAUACGUUGUGUCUCUUGGCCGUGUUCAGUUCCGUUUAGCCGUGAACUCGGGUGGUGACUUUUCCGCGUUUCCUCUACAACAGCGACGGGCUCGUCCCUAGGUUGUACGGGAAUCUGCGGAUA
rnacentral:misc_RNA from 1 species